CUCUGAGAUUUGUGGCUUGUCCCUGGGACUGGGCCCACUUCUGGUUCCUGCUGGAUGAGGUCAGGAGAACAGAACAAGCCUCCACCUCAAGCCUGUACAACCAACUGUCCCAGGGGUUGGGUGUAGGUAGCACCAAGAAGAUGAGAUGCUAUAAACAAUAAGUUAGAACAGUAGCCAGAAAACCCAGGAAUGAAUGAAUGAUGUGGGGAGAUUGCAUCAAGGUGACUGAUGAACAAUAUUUGUCCUCCUGCUUCUCCCCUAAAUUCUAAAACAUACAAAAAAGGUGUUUAUGAGAAUAAAUUAAUUCCUGGCACUGCUAGGGAAAAGGGAGUUGUAACUGGCUGUAUUUUCCAAGAUGGCUAUAAGAAUAUGUUUCAUUACACAUGCUUUUCUUACAAGAGACUCUGACACUUCCCAUCCAUCACUGGGGUCUCUGUUUCUUCUCCUGGAGCCUUAGUGGAACUGUGACAUGACUGCAGCGGAAGUGAAGCCAUGGUUCAUAAAAUCUGAUUCCAUUUCUGCCUGGACUUCUGACCGUGCUUGUGAGACUCCAUGCUGUGAGAAAGCUCAAGACUCAUGGAGAUGAUGUUCCUUCUCACACCCUAGAGGAGUUGGGCCCCAGCCACCAACUCACUGCGAUCCUAUGGAAGCCUCUGAGCAAGAGCUACCUAGAUGAACCUAAUCAACUCGCAUGGCCAUGAGAGAACAAUACAAAUGACUGUUACCACAGCCACUGUAAUUUAGAAUGAUCUGCUGCUCAGCAAUAAUAAUAUAGCAAUAGCAAUAGUCAACCAGAGCACAGAUGCAAAGUGGACCAGAGGUCUAAAAACUUGGGAUCAGACUGAAGAGGAAAACAAAGCCUCAAAUUCUAGAAAUUGAGGGAACAGCUUUAGAGUGCUUCUAGUUUAUCCAGGACAGGUACAGGGGACAGACAGAGCCCCAACUCUGUCUUAGGGUGUCUCCAUUCAGAAGACCAUUCAGUGGCCCUCCUCACCAGGCAACACAUUCCUGCUUCUCACCCACAAUAGCUGCAGGAAAUGGAUAAACCACUUAACAAAGGCACCAACAGGAAAUCCCAGAGUCUAAGAUGGGCACUUCAUGAAAACAUUCUAAAUAACUGAGAAAAACCCACUACAACAUAGAGGAAGCAAUUACCAUCUGAGGUAAACUAUUUCAGAGCAUACAACAAAAUAUAAAAUAAGCCAACACAUUUUCCAAGAAGAACAGAACUUAAUACCAAAACUGGAAGACUACACAUGGUCAUGGAUGCAAAGAUUCUAAGGUACAGUUUGCCCUCUGUGCCUGUGAAUCAAAAGUAUUGGGG
rnacentral:lncRNA from 1 species